rnacentral:rRNA from 1 species
ACGGGUGAGUAACACGUGAGCAAUCUGCCCUUCUCUUUGGAAUAACCAUUGGAAACGAUGGCUAAUGCCGAAUAUGACCUCCUUUCGCAUGUUUGGAGGUGGAAAGCUCCGGCGGAGAAGGAUGAGCUCGCGGCCUAUCAGCUUGUUGGUGAGGUAAUGGCUCACCAAGGCAUUGACGGGUAGCCGGCCUGAGAGGGUGACCGGCCACACUGGGACUGAGACACGGCCCAGACUCCUACGGGAGGCAGCAGUGGGGAAUAUUGGACAAUGGGCGAAAGCCUGAUCCAGCAACGCCGCGUGAGGGAUGACGGCCUUCGGGUUGUAAACCUCUUUCAGCAGGGACGAAGCGAGAGUGACGGUACCUGCAGAAGAAGGACCGGCCAACUACGUGCCAGCAGCCGCGGUAAUACGUAGGGUCCGAGCGUUGUCCGGAAUUAUUGGGCGUAAAGGGCUCGUAGGCGGUUUGUCGCGUCGGGAGUGAAAACUCAGGGCUCAACCCUGAGCGUGCUUCCGAUACGGGCAGACUAGAGGUAUGCAGGGGAGAACGGAAUUCCUGGUGUAGCGGUGGAAUGCGCAGA